ACAGUGGACGCGAGCAUCUGUGGCCAAGUUUUUAAGGGCGCACGGUGGAUGCCUUGGCACCAGGAACCGAUGAAGGACGUGGGAGGCCACGAUAGUCCCCGGGGAGCUGUCAACCAAGCUUUGAUCCGGGGGUUUCCGAAUGGGGAAACCCGGCAGUCGUCAUGGGCUGUCACCCGCUGCUGAACACAUAGGCAGUGUGGAGGGAACGAGGGGAAGUGAAACAUCUCAGUACCCUCAGGAAGAGAAAACAACCGUGAUUCCGGGAGUAGUGGCGAGCGAAACUGGAUGAGGCCAAACCGUAUGCGUGUGAUACCCGGCAGGGGUUGCGCAUGCGGGGUUGUGGGAUCUCUUUUUCAUAGUCUGCCGGCUGUGAGGCGAGUCAGAAACCGUUGGUGUAGGCGAAGGACAUGCGAAAGGUCCGGCGUAGAGGGUAAGACCCCCGUAGCUGAAACAUCAACGGCUCGUUGGAGAGACACCCAAGUAGCACGGGGCCCGAGAAAUCCCGUGUGAAUCUGGCGGGACCACCCGCUAAGCCUAAAUAUUCCCUGGUGACCGAUAGCGGAUAGUACCGUGAGGGAAUGGUGAAAAGUACCGCGGGAGCGGAGUGAAAUAGUACCUGAAACCGUGUGCCUACAAGCCGUGGGAGCGUCGCGCAUCGAGCUUGCUCGGUGCGUCGUGACUGCGUGCCUUUUGAAGAAUGAGCCUGCGAGUUAGCGGUGUGUAGCGAGGUUAACCCGUGUGGGGAAGCCGUAGCGAAAGCGAGUCCGAACAGGGCGGUUGAGUUGCACGCUCUAGACCCGAAGCGGAGUGAUCUAGCCAUGGGCAGGUUGAAGCGGAGGUAAGACUUCGUGGAGGACCGAACCCACCAGGGUUGAAAACCUGGGGGAUGACCUGUGGUUAGGGGUGAAAGGCCAAUCAAACUCCGUGAUAGCUGGUUCUCCCCGAAAUGCAUUUAGGUGCAGCGUCGUGUGUUUCUUGCCGGAGGUAGAGCACUGGAUAGGCGAUGGGCCCUACCGGGUUACUGACCUUAGCCAAACUCCGAAUGCCGGUAAGUGAGAGCGCGGCAGUGAGACUGUGGGGGAUAAGCUCCAUGGUCGAGAGGGAAACAGCCCAGAGCAUCGACUAAGGCCCCUAAGCGUACGCUAAGUGGGAAAGGAUGUGGAGUCGCAGAGACAACCAGGAGGUUGGCUUAGAAGCAGCCACCCUUGAAAGAGUGCGUAAUAGCUCACUGGUCAAGUGAUUCCGCGCCGACAAUGUAGCGGGGCUCAAGCGUACCGCCGAAGUCGUGUCAUUCACACAUAUAGGGCCAACGCCUGUGUGGAUGGGUAGGGGAGCGUCGUGUGCCGGGUGAAGCAGCCGCGGAAGCGAGUUGUGGACGGUUCACGAGUGAGAAUGCAGGCAUGAGUAGCGAUACACACGUGAGAAACGUGUGCGCCGAUUGACUAAGGGUUCCUGGGUCAAGCUGAUCUGCCCAGGGUAAGUCGGGACCUAAGGCGAGGCCGACAGGCGUAGUCGAUGGACAACCGGUUGAUAUUCCGGUACCCGCUUUGAAACGCCCAGUACUGAAUCAGGCGAUGCUAAGUCCGUGAAGCCGGCCCGAUCUCUUCGGAGUUGAGGGUAGUGGUGGAGCCGAUGAACCAGACUUGUAGUAGGUAAGCGAUGGGGUGACGCAGGAAGGUAGUCCAGCCCGGGCGGUGGUUGUCCCGGGGUAAGGGUGUAGGACG
rnacentral:rRNA from 1 species